UUGAUCCUGGCUCAGGACGAACGCUGGCGGCUUGCCUAACACAUGCAAGUCGAACGGGACUAAGACUGACACCAGAUAUUCAGGGCAACUGGUGGGGAAGAAAGAGCCAGUGAAGGUGAAUGGCUGGUGUUGGUUUUAGUUCAGUGGCGGACGGGUGAGUAACGCGUGAGUAACCUGCCUUUCAGAGGGGGAUAGCGUCUGGAAACGGACGGUAAUACCGCAUGACAUUCCGGUGCUGCAUGGUACUGGAAUCAAAGGAGCAAUCCGCUGGAAGAUGGACUCGCGUCCGAUUAGCCAGUUGGUGAGGUAACGGCCCACCAAAGCGACGAUCGGUAGCCGGACUGAGAGGUUGAACGGCCACAUUGGGACUGAGACACGGCCCAGACUCCUACGGGAGGCAGCAGUGGGGGAUAUUGCACAAUGGAGGAAACUCUGAUGCAGCAACGCCGCGUGAAGGAAGACGGUCUUCGGAUUGUAAACUUAGCUCCAGGGACGAUAAUGACGGUACCUGAGGAGGAAGCUCCGGCUAACUACGUGCCAGCAGCCGCGGUAAUACGUAGGGAGCGAGCGUUGUCCGGAUUUACUGGGUGUAAAAGGUGCGUAGGCGGCUGUUUAAGUCAGGUGUGAAAACCAUCGGCUCAACUGAUGGAUUGCAUUUGAAACUGAGCAGCUUGAGUGGAGCAGAGGCAGGUGGAAUUCCCGGUGUAGCGGUGAAAUGCGUAGAGAUCGGGAGGAACACCAGUGGCGAAAGCGGCCUGCUGGGCUUUAACUGACGCUGAGGCACGAAAGCAUGGGUAGCAAACAGGAUUAGAUACCCUGGUAGUCCAUGCCGUAAACGAUGAUUACUAGGGUUGGGGGGGGUCUGACCCCCUCCGUGCCGGAGUUAACACAAUAAGUAAUCCACCUGGGAAGUACGACCGCAAGGUUGAAACUCAAAGGAAUUGACGGGGGCCCGCACAAGCAGUGGAGUAUGUGGUUUAAUUCGACGCAACGCGAAAACCUUACCAGGUCUUGACAUCUGCCGGACCCGGCUGAAAAGCCGGGGUGCCCUUCGGGGAACGGCAAGACAAGGGGUGGCAUGGUUGUCGUCACUCUGUCUUGGAAAGAUGUUGGGUUAAGUCCCGCAACGAGCGCAACCCUUAUGAUUAGUUGCUACGCAAGAGCACUCUAAUCAGACUGCCGUUGACAAAACGGAGGAAGGUGGGGACGACGUCAAAUCAUCAUGCCCUUUAUGAUCUGGGCUACACACGUACUACAAUGGCCGUAAACAAAGGGACGCGAAACCGCGAGGCGGAGCGAACCCCAUAAAGGCGGUCACAGUUCGGAUUGCAGGCUGCAACUCGCCUGCAUGAAGCUGGAAUUGCUAGUAAUCGCGGAUCAUCAUGCCGCGGUGA
rnacentral:rRNA from 1 species